rnacentral:lncRNA from 1 species
UGUACCGGGAGCCAACUCGUAUAACCAAUCCUUGGCUUUGUCCAUUAAAGAGAAUGGAAAAACCUUCAUCUUUAAAAUACUUCCGUCAACGGUAACCGGAGUCAUACUUGAGCACACCACUUCAAAUUCUUUCAAAUGUUUGUUCGGAUCCUCCAUGGACAGCCCAUGGAACUUUGGAAUGUGGUGGAACAAACUUGACUUUAACUCGAACUCUUCGGUUUUACCUUAAGCAGCCAUGGGAUAUUGGAUACACA